rnacentral:sRNA from 1 species
AGAGCCUACAGUCACAGCAGCCCUGACUACAGCGUUCCUGGAGCCCAGGAUCUUUUCCACAGAGGAGGAAAGAGCAGGCAGCAGAGACCAUGGGGCCCCCCUCAGCCUCUCCCCACAGAGAAUGCAUUCCCUGGCAGGGGCUUCUGCUCACAGCCUCACUUCUAAACUUCUGGAACCCGCCCACCACUGCCCAACUCACUAUUGAAUCCACGCCGUUCAAUGUCGCAGAGGGGAAGGAGGUUCUUCUACUCACCCACAAUCUGCCCCAGAAUCAUAUUGGCUACACCUGGUACAAAGGGGAAAGAGUGGAUAGCAACCGUCUAAUUCUAGCAUAUAAAAUAGAAACUCAAAAAGCUGCCCCAGGGCCCGCAUACAGUGGUCGAGAGACAAUAUGCCCCAAUGCAUCCCUGCUGAUCCAGAACAUCACCCAGAAUGACACAGGAUCCUACACCCUACAAGUCAUAAGGUCAGAUCUUGUGAAUGAAGAAGCAACUGGACAGUUCCAUGUAUACCCGGAGCUGCCCAAGCCCUACAUCACCAGCAACAACUCCAACCCCAAGGAGGACAAGGAUGCUGUAGCCUUCACCUGUAAACCUGAGAUUCACAGCACAACCUACCUGUGGUGGGUAAAUGGUCAGAGCCUCCCGAAGAAAAUGCCCCAGGCAUUCCUGUGGGGGCCGUCGCCGGCAUCGUGACCGGGGUCCUGGUCGAAGUGGCGCUGGUGGCCGCCCUGGUGUGUUUCCUGCUCUUUGCCAAAACUGGAAGGUACCACAGCUUUUUCCCAUCCUCCUCCCACCCCCUAGGCUGACUCCAGGCCAGAAGAAAGGAGACCUUGUCCUGUAUUCAGGGCCAGGCUCUCCACGGCCCCCCAAGUCCCCAGGGAUCCUUCCCUCUUAUUCCACGGCUCCUCCCUCGUCAGCUCCUGACCCUGGGUUGCAGCCUCAACAGCUUCCUCCUCUGUGAAUUUGGCCCAAUUAAGGCCCCACCCCUGAGUGUGGCCCUAGUUCCCUCACACAGCAAAGCCACAGCUGCCUGGAGGGAGGGAGAGAAGGAGGGAAGGUAGUAGGGAGGGAGGGAGGGAAGGCGUGCUCUGUACUUGGUACCUCCCACUGUUCAUUGAAUCCACCCACACAGUGAGGGGGAUUUGCAGGCUCCAGAUCCUGGGCACCAUCAUACAAUGGGGAGUGGACCAGCCUGGACAGGCUGGGUGGGGUCAGCGCCCCCCAUGGCUGAUGUGGUAACCAUAGGCCCUGAGGUGUGAGAUGGGAGAACCUGGGCCUCAGAACAGCAUGUCCUGGAGCAUCCUUUGUGUCUCUUGCCAAGGGGUUGAGAGAGAGGACAAGGACACUGUCCCAUUUCAGCCCUGAGUGCAGGGUCUGGCCACAGCAGGGACACUGAGUUCCAGGAGAAUCCAAGACACUUGCGGUCCCCUCCGUGUCCUGCACAU